CGCGUUCAGCCCGACCCCCCGGGGCUGAACCCGACGGCCCCAGCCUCCUCCCCCCCGGCUGGGGCCGUCCUCU
rfam:Nocardia asteroides NBRC 15531 DNA, contig: NCAST25.